rnacentral:tRNA from 1 species
CCUCCUUAACGACAAAGAUUUCCGUCCUGUUCAGGGCCCACACGUUUGCUUGUCUGGUAAUUAAAGGGUGUAGACGCUUUGCAUAGGUCUGUAGCUCAGUUGGUUAGAGCGCACCCCUGAUAAGGGUGAGGUCGGCAGUUCAAAUCUGCCCAGACCUACCAUUUUCAGCAUUUAAAAUGGGGCCUUAGCUCAGCUGGGAGAGCGCCUGCCUUGCACGCAGGAGGUCAGCGGUUCGAUCCCGCUAGGCUCCACCAAGUGUUGGCUUAGGUAGAAGCGUUGAAGAAGUCAGAAUCAAGCAUUGUGUUGCUUGCUUCUGGCUUUUUGGUCGGAAACCGUAAUCUUCAUGAUUCGGUAGCUCUUUAAAAAUUUGGGAAAUGAGAAAGUCCAAGUAUUCAUUGAGAAUGCAAGCGUUAAGAGACUAUCUGACACUUGUGUCUUUUAUGGUGAAUCGUUAUCACGAUGAAAAACCCUGGACGGAUUGGAAUUGUUUGGUCGAAAGGUCACGAUGAAAAAAACUGUUUUUGGGUUAC